rnacentral:tRNA from 1 species
GCCGGUGUGGCGGAAUGGUAGACGCGCACGAUUCAAAAUCGUGUUCCUUCGGGAGUGAGGGUUCGAGUCCCUCCGCCGGUA